UACGUAGGGUGCAAGCGUUAAUCGGAAUUACUGGGCGUAAAGCGUGCGCAGGCGGUUCGCUAAGACCGAUGUGAAAUCCCCGGGCUCAACCUGGGAACUGCAUUUGUGACUGCAUCGCUGGAGUGCGGCAGAGGGGGAUGGAAUUCCGCGUGUAGCAGUGAAAUGCGUAGAUAUGCGGAGGAACACCGAUGGCGAAGGCAAUCCCCUGGGCCUGCACUGACGCUCAUGCACGAAAGCGUGGGGAGCAAACAGG
rnacentral:rRNA from 1 species